AGCUGUGUGAUAAGUACAUAGCGAACUAUUCUUUCGCCUUUUACUAAAGAAUACCGUGUACUUGUCACAAUAAGCGGCAUACGCCAAUUUUUGGGAGAGGGACCUCACUAGAGGGCCC